UACGAAGGGGGCUAGCGUUGUUCGGAAUUACUGGGCGUAAAGGGCGCGUAGGCGGUGCCUCAAGUCAGGCGUGAAAGCCCCGGGCUCAACCUGGGAACCGCGCUUGAGACUGGAGUACUAGAGUUCGGGAGAGGAUGAUGGAAUUCCCAGUGUAGAGGUGAAAUUCGUAGAUAUUGGGAAGAACACCGAUGGCGAAGGCAGCCAUCUGGACCGACACUGACGC
rnacentral:rRNA from 1 species